UGGGGAAUCUUGCACAAUGGGGGCAACCCUGAUGCAGCGACGCCGCGUGAGCGAUGAAGCCCUUCGGGGCGUAAAGCUCUUUCGACCGGAACGAUAAUGACGGUACCGGGAGAAGAAGCUGCGGCUAACUACGUGCCAGCAGCCGCGGUAAUACGUAGGCAGCAAGCGUUGUUCGGAGUUACUGGGCGUAAAGAGUGCGUAGGCGGUUUUCUAAGUUCGGUGUGAAAUCUCCCGGCUUAACUGGGAGGGUGCGCCGAAGACUGGGAAGCUGGAGUGUGGGAAAGGCAGGCGGAAUUCCUGGUGUAGCGGUGAAAUGCGUAGAUAUCAGGAGGAACACCGGCGGUGUAGACGGCUUGCUAGACCAUAACUGACGCUUAGGCACGAAAGCGUGGGUAGCAAACA
rnacentral:rRNA from 1 species